rnacentral:rRNA from 1 species
CUGAUCCAGCAAUGCCGCGUGCAGGAUGAAGGCCUUCGGGUUGUAAACUGCUUUUGUACGGAACGAAAAGUCUCGGGAUAAUACCCUGGGACCAUGACGGUACCGUAAGAAUAAGCACCGGCUAACUACGUGCCAGCAGCCGCGGUAA